GCCCCCGUAUUUUAAUGGACAGAAUAAGGGCCUCCGGAGCCUUUGAUCUGGGUUCGAAUCCCGGCGGGGGCG
rnacentral:tRNA from 2 species